UUGUAUUUUUUUUCAAGCUAUGAUGAUACUCCCACUUCUGGUCCGUGUUUCUGAAUCCUGAUAAAUUGGAAGUCCUGAGCAAUGCACAGAUUAUGGACCACAGUAUUAAUUUGGUAAAGUCUUUAGUGACUAAACAUGCAUUCCUUUUCAGCCUGCCAAUGCGCAAUAUUAUGGCGAGGAGCUCAAGCAAGAAGGACUCAAAACAAACCGGCGACUGAAGAACUGGUGGAACCCUGGGAACAAGCACCUGCUAAAAACCAAGGCAUCUCAAGCUGGAAUUCGAAGAAGGCAAAGGAGACAUGUUCACAGUUUAAUUCACCAAACUUGUCACGACAACAAAUCUGAGCCUUAAGCACGUUUAAAAUGGCAUUAUUCGUUAGAAAAAGAUGGCUUUUCAGGCAGGCUUGCAAAGCAGCCAAAAAUUUGUUUCACUUUUAUAAUUUCACUUGGCAUGUAGGUUUGAAAUGAAAAUACGUACCAUUUGAUUGCA